rfam:Lysinibacillus massiliensis 4400831 = CIP 108448 = CCTG 49529 contig29, whole genome shotgun sequence.
GGUCUUGUAGCUCAGCUGGGAGAGCAUCACGUCGACAACGUGGGGGUCGCAGGUUCGAGCCCUGUCGAGACCA